rnacentral:misc_RNA from 1 species
GAUGAAGAACGUAGCGAAAUGCGAUAAGUAAUGUGAAUUGCAGAAUUCAGUGAAUCAUCGAAUCUUUGAACGCACAUUGCGCCCGUCAGUAUUCUGGCGGGCAUGCCUGUUCGAGCGUCAUUACGCCCCUCAAGUCCCCUGUGGACUUGGUGUUGGGGUUCGGCGAGGCUGGUUUUCCAGCACAGCCGUCCCUUAAAUUAAUUGGCGGUCUCGCCGUGGCCCUCCUCUGCGCAGUAGUAAAACACUCGCAACAGGAGCCCGGCGCGGUCCACUGCCGUAAAACCCCCCAACUUUUUAUAGUUGACCUCGAAUCAGGUAGGACUACCCGCUGAACUUAAGCAUAUCAAUAAGCGGAGGA